rnacentral:lncRNA from 1 species
GGCACAGAUCCACAUCCUAUCCGGUUACUCAUCCAGCCCAGUGCCCAGGACUUCGAGGGGCGUGCCGUCUUUCCCGUCAGGCUCCCCAUGCUCUGGCAGCCUAUACACUGAGAGAUGCCCUGAGGCCCCUGUGGACUUGAAAACUGGCAAAAAUUCCAAAUAUCCUCGGUUUUCCCAGCCUGGACGAUGAUUCCUUGGCCUUCGAGUUGCCUGGUGGGGGUGAAGCAUGGCCCAGGGUGGAGGACAGUGGCCAGGUACCUGCUAUCGUCUCCGAGUUGGUCCCUGAAUGGCUCUAGGACGAGGUCUUGUAUCCUGCUUUGUCAUCCAGGCUGGAGUUCAGUGGCAAUUCACAGGUGUGAUCAUAGCUCACUGCAGCCUCGACCUUCUGGGCUCAAGCGAUUCUCCUGUCUCAGCCUCCGGAGUAGCUGGGACCACAGGUAGAUCUGGAGCCCCUGGCGUCAUCGUGCAUACUUGGGAUCAGCCAUGCACUGCAGUAUUCUCCAGGCUGAAGUCAUGGAACCACUUUUAAUUCUCCCGUCAAAGACCAUGGCAUUCCCUCGAAGUGAACCCCAAGAU